CCGUGUCGUGAGAUGUUGGGUUAAGUCCCGCAACGAGCGCAACCCCUACGUUUAGUUGCUAACGCGUGAAGGCGAGCACUCUAGACGAACUGCCGUUGACAAAACGGAGGAAGGUGGGGAUGACGUCAAAUCAUCAUGCCCCUUAUGUUCUGGGCUACACACGUGCUACAAUGGCCGGUACAGACGGACGCAAAGCCGCGAGGCGGAGCAAAUCCGAAAAAGCCGGUCUCAGUUCGGAUUGCAGGCUGCAAUUCGCCUGCAUGAAGUCGGAAUCGCUAGUAAUCGCAGGUCAGCAUACUGCGGUGAAUACGUUCCCGGGCCUU
rnacentral:rRNA from 1 species